rnacentral:lncRNA from 1 species
AUGUACCAGGAAGAUAAAAGCCAGCAUCUCCCGAAAAUCUGCCAUGCCAAAUCUUGGGGGACCAACCGAGAAAUCAACAAUCCAGCGUUCCUGGUUUUCUUUCUCCUUGAAAUAAAAUAUAUAUAUAUUAGAAGCUGGGUACCAUGGCAUGCAUCUAUAAUAAGAAGAUACAGUAUGGUAGCCACUGUUGAUUUCCUAUUACCUUGUUUUGAAGCCCUGUAUUGCUUUCAUUGUUUGCUUUGAUUGGUUUUAUUCUGUUCUGUUUUGUUUGACUUUAUCAUGUCUGAUGUUAUGGACACCCAUAUUGAAAAUAACAAAAGGCAUUAUGGUAGCCAUCAUUGAUUUUCUAUUGUCUUGUUUUGAAGUCCUAUAUUACUGUUUUGUUUUGAUUGGCUUAAUCUAUUUUAUUUUGUUUGGUUUUAUUCUCUUUAAAAUAAAAUUUUAAAAAUGUUUUUAAAUUAGAAUAAAAU